UUACCUUUCAAAGGGGUACAUCCAUCUGUACUGCACGGGCCCCCCAACCUUAGCUUCAUAAGCUAGAUGAACAGGUAAGUGCUCCAUUGAGUCAAAAAAUGCAGGAGGAAAUAUCUUCUCAAGUUUGCAGAGAGUUACCACAAUAUUUUUCUCAAGAACCUCCAUAUCUUGGACACGCAAAGUUGUGUUGCAUAAAUCUCUAAAGUAACAGCUUAAUUCUGUCAAUGCAUCCCACACUGGUGCUGGCAAUACUUCACGGAAUGCAAUUGGAAGCAACUCAGCAUGAAAACAUGACAAUCGUGACUUUUUAACCCGUAAAACUUAUAAUCAUCCAGGUUAACACACUUCGAUAUGUUUGAAGCAUAUCCAUCAGGGAGUCUUAACCCUUU
rnacentral:lncRNA from 1 species